UUGUCAGUAUUUUCGAAAGCCAUCAAUCCACUCUUGAGCUACCGACCCUAGCAUCAAUGUCUGACCGCAUUUCUGGGAGCAUCAGGUUGCCGAUCUACAUCUUGACUGACGCCCUCAUCACUAGUGGUCUCCAAACAUUGGACAUGAAUCUAGAUUUUGGGUUCCGACCCCUAUGUCGGCUUCGAUACUGGUGUCUACUAUCGAUUCUCAUCUCCAACAAUAUACAUGGUGAGCCAUGAAGCCAUGGUCUCCGACCUCCUUUCCUUUCGACCUCUGCUUUGAUCGCCGUAUUCAGAAAGUUUGAUAGAAAAUCCUAAUACAAUCUCAUCAAAUCAUGCCACCUUUGGGAUCAACUGGCUAUUGACUAGAUAAGGCAACUGCAACUGCUCCAUACCAAGAAAUCAAGCCGAAGAUCUCGGGAUAGAGCAUCCAAAGAAGUUGGUGCAGUCUUCAAUUACUCUC
rnacentral:lncRNA from 1 species